GAUGGAGGGGGAUAACUACUGGAAACGGUAGCUAAUACCGCAUAACGUCGCAAGACCAAAGAGGGGGACCCUCGGGCCUCUUGCCAUCGGAUGUGCCCAGAUGGGAUUAGCUUGUUGGUGGGGUAACGGCUCACCAAGGCGACGAUCCCUAGCUGGUCUGAGAGGAUGACCAGCCACACUGGAACUGAGACACGGUCCAGACUCCUACGGGAGGCAGCAGUGGGGAAUAUUGCACAAUGGGCGCAAGCCUGAUGCAGCCAUGCCGCGUGUAUGAAGAAGGCCUUCGGGUUGUAAAGUACUUUCAGCGGGGAGGAAGGGAGUAAAGUUAAUACCUUUGCUCAUUGACGUUACCCGCAGAAGAAGCACCGGCUAACUCCGUGCCAGCAGCCGCGGUAAUACGGAGGGUGCAAGCGUUAAUCGGAAUUACUGGGCGUAAAGCGCACGCAGGCGGUUUGUUAAGUCAGAUGUGAAAUCCCCGGGCUCAACCUGGGAACUGCAUCUGAUACUGGCAAGCUUGAGUCUCGUAGAGGGGGGUAGAAUUCCAGGUGUAGCGGUGAAAUGCGUAGAGAUCUGGAGGAAUACCGGUGGCGAAGGCGGCCCCCUGGACGAAGACUGACGCUCAGGUGCGAAAGCGUGGGGAGCAAACAGGAUUAGAUACCCUGGUAGUCCACGCCGUAAACGAUGUCGACUUGGAGGUUGUGCCCUUGAGGCGUGGCUUCCGGAGCUAACGCGUUAAGUCGACCGCCUGGGGAGUACGGCCGCAAGGUUAAAACUCAAAUGAAUUGACGGGGGCCCGCACAAGCGGUGGAGCAUGUGGUUUAAUUCGAUGCAACGCGAAGAACCUUACCUGGUCUUGACAUCCACGGAAGUUUUCAGAGAUGAGAAUGUGCCUUCGGGAACCGUGAGACAGGUGCUGCAUGGCUGUCGUCAGCUCGUGUUGUGAAAUGUUGGGUUAAGUCCCGCAACGAGCGCAACCCUUAUCCUUUGUUGCCAGCGGUCCGGCCGGGAACUCAAAGGAGACUGCCAGUGAUAAACUGGAGGAAGGUGGGGAUGACGUCAAGUCAUCAUGGCCCUUACGACCAGGGCUACACACGUGCUACAAUGGCGCAUACAAAGAGAAGCGACCUCGCGAGAGCAAGCGGACCUCAUAAAGUGCGUCGUAGUCCGGAUUGGAGUCUGCAACUCGACUCCAUGAAGUCGGAAUCGCUAGUAAUCGUGGAUCAGAAUGCCACGGUGAAUACGUUCCCGGGCCUUGUACACACCGCCCGUCACACCAUGGGAGUGGGUUGCAAAAGAAGUAGGUAGCUUAACCUUCGGGAGGGCGCUUACCACUUUGUGAUUCAUGACUGGGGUGAAGUCGUAACAAGGUAACCGUAGGGGAACCUGCGGUUGGAUCAC
rnacentral:rRNA from 1 species